CCUGCCUUGGCCUCCCAAAGUGCUGGGAUUACAGGAUGAAAGGCUUCCUAGCACAAACACCACCCCUGGAGUUCCCGGUACAUCAAUACCAGCCUGGGGAUCACGUUCUCAUCAAGAGUUGGAAGAGGGAAAGCUUGAACCAGCUUAGGAGGACCUCAUCUGGUACUCUUGAUGAAUGAAACAGCAAUCUGAAUGGCUGAAAAAGGAUGGACCCAGCACUCCAGGUAAAAAGGACCCCACCCUUACAGAGUCAUGGGCUGUCACUCCAAGACCAAUGCCUUCCAAGUUAGUAUUCAAAAGGGUCUAAUCUGUCUUUCCCUUCUUCCCUUAACUACUCAAGGACACUUCAUUAUCAAUGUAACCAGAUCACUCUCUCCUCAAACAAUCACGUUUGACGCAUGUCUUGCCAUACACUUUGGGGACCUCCAAAACCAGAAGCAGCUAUCCUCCUUGUAGAAAUAUCUCUGUCCUUCCAGGGUAGAUUCUAACCUCUUACAUUCACGCAACUCUUGCUUGGUAGAAGCCGAAACCCUUACGUUUUGGGAAAGGUUCUGCUCCACCUGGAACAAUGUCCUAUGGACUACUAAGCAUCAAGGGUGGACCUCCCCAGGAAGCUGCGCCUCUUUAAAACCAUAUCUUCGUUUCACCAAAGGAAAUGCCCCCUCUAAUUGCCAACAUCAUCAAUGCAACCCAGUGCAAAUUUCUAUCUUACCCCUACCUCCAUCGAUCUUGAGCCCACUUUAGGUCUUUUCUAUGGCAUAGGAACCGAAGUGGGCUGAGACAGAUCCCAUAGGGUCCUUUGAAAUGCGCUUUAGCAACCCUUCCCCACCUCCUAGGGGUAACCCCUCUCCAAACCCUCCUCCAAAUCAAACAACUAUUUUGCCACUACCUAAUGACAAAACUAAAGUGGUCAUAGUGGAAGUCAAAGACUUAAACCCUAGCCAUUGAAACCGGGUAUCAGGAUGCAAAUGCCUAGCUGGAAUGGAUUAAAUAUUCCGUUCAUACUCUAAACAAAAGUGACUGUUACGCUUGUGCAACAGGUAGGCCAGAAACAAAAAUAGUUCCUUUUCUGCUUGGAUGGUCUAACCAACCGGGUAUGGACUGCAUGGUAGCUCUUUCCAGCAUCCCACAGCCUGGGGUAAUAAGUCAUGCGGCACUCUCUUACUGCUUUUCCCAGAAGUGAAAGACCGCCCUGUGUGUCAGCCCCCAAGGGCCAUCCAGCUCCCAGCGUCUGAUGCCAAUUUUUCCUCAUGUCUCUCACAACAGGGAGAAAACUUGGCAUUCUUUGGGAAUCUAACAGGAUGCAGUGAACCCAAGCCUUUUGAAGAGCUCACCAAUCAGACUGCCCUUGUCUAUCCAUGAGCAGAUGUUUGAUAGUAUUGCGGAGGCCCUCUAGUGGGUAUGCUGCCAAGCAACUGGAGUGGCACUUGGGCUCUAAUCCAGUUGUCUAUCCCUUUCACCCUGGCAUUUCAUCAGCCAAACAAAAACCAACUAACUCAGAAAAAAAGGAAAGCCCCUCAAGGGUCCUUUGACCCCGAUAUCUACAUAGAUGCUAUCGGGGUCCCCUGAGGGGUACCAAACGAAUUCAAAGCUCGAAAUCAAAUAGCUGCUGGAUUCAAGUCUGUCCUUUUCUUGUGGUCUACUAUAAAUAAAAAUGUAGACUGGAUAAAUUACAUAUACUAUAACCAACAACGAUUUGUCAGUUACACCAGGGAUGCCAUUAAAGGAAUAGCUGAACAAUUGGGUUUCACCAGCCAAAUGGCCUGGGAAAAUAGAAUAGCUCUUGACAUGAUAUUAGUGGAAGUCCAAUGUUGUACCUGUAUCCCCAAUAAUACAGCCCCUGAUGUAACUAUCACUAAGGGUCUAUAAGGCCUCACCACUCUAGGAAAUGAACUAGCUGAAAAUUCGGGAAUGAAUGAUCCCUUUACAGGUGUAAUGGAAAAAAUGGUUUGGUAGAUGGAAAGGACUAAUGGCCUCUAUUCUCACCUCCCUUGUGAUCAUAAUAGGGGUGCUCAUUCUCUUAGGGUGCUGUAUUAUACCCUGUGUCUGCGGACUAGUUCAAAAGCUCAUAGAAACAGCCCUUACCAAGACCUCCCACAACUCUCCCCCACCCUAUUCAGAUAAACGUUUAUUUCUAAGCAACCAAGAAGAGCAGUGAAGCCAGAUCCUGUUAGAAAUAUAUGAAGAGGAAGGACUACAAAAUCAAAAGGGGAAAAUUAUUAGACAAAAUGAGUUGCUCUACAAAGGUCCAACUUCGUUGUCCUUUGUUCUGUAACCUUUGUUCUGUAAACUGCCCUUCCCGCAGAAACUGUCUUUCCCGCCGACCAAAACUGCCCUUCACUAUCACUGUAAUCCAUACCCCUACUCUAUUUGAAACUGCCAAUCGGGAUCAGCUUACAUUGUGUGGUUCAACCACCAGCCAAUGAGGAAAAAACACAGAAGCAAAAGCUAUGAUGCAUUAGGGUUAAAAACCCCUUCCUUUCCCUGUCCAAUGUGCUCUUGAGACUGCUACAGGCGCAAGCAGCCACCUUCUGCAGAAGUAAACCUUGCCUUGCUGAGAAAUUUUUCUUUUGAGUGCUGGUCUCUCUCUGUGGCACCAAGAACUUAUUUCUAACAUGGAGUGAUUUCCAAGAUAGAUGGUUAAGUGAAAAUAAAAACUGUUGCCAGGCACGGUAGCUCAUGCCUGUAAUCCCAGC
ensembl:lncRNA ZNF561-AS1 ZNF561 antisense RNA 1 (head to head)